rnacentral:rRNA from 1 species
AUCGAACGCUGGCGGCAGGCUUAACACAUGCAAGUCGAGCGAGCGGCGGAGUGGUGAGUAAUGUCUGGGAAACUGCCUGACGGAGGGGGAUAAGUACUGGAAACGGUAGCUACUACUGCAUACCAUCAGUUGUGCCCAGAGUGGAUUAGCUAGUAGUUGGGGUAAUGGCUCACCUAGGCGACGAUCCCUAGCUGGUCCGAGAGGAUGACCAGCAACACUGGAACUGAGACACGGUCCAGACUCCUACGGGAGGCAGCAGUGGGGAAUAUUGCGCAAUGGGCGCAAGCCUGAUGCAGCCAUGCCGCGUGAGUGAAGAAGGCCUUCGGAUUGGAAAGCACUUUCAGCGAGGAGGCGUUACUCACAGAGGAAGCACCGGCUAACUCCGUGCCAGCAGCCGCGGUAAUUC